rnacentral:rRNA from 1 species
UACGUAGGGGGCAAGCGUUGUCCGGAAUCAUUGGGCGUAAAGCGCGUGUAGGCGGCCCGGUAAGUCCGCUGUGAAAGUCCAGGGCUCAACCCUGGAAUGCCGGUGGAUACUGUCGGGCUCGAAUCCGGAAGAGGUGAGUGGAAUUCCUGGUGUAGCGGUGAAAUGCGCAGAUAUUCGGAAGAACACCAGUGGCGAAGGCGGACUCACUGGCCCGGUACUGACGCUGACGGUGCGAAAGCGUGGGGAGCAAACAGGG